GGCAAAGUGGCCGAGUGGUUAAGGCGUUGUGUUUAGGAAAUCUGCCUUCUCUUGAGAAAGCAGACGUCCACAAACCGCAAUGGGAAACCGCGCGAGUUCGAAUCUCGUCUUUGUCA